GACGAACCGUGCGAACGUUGUUCGGAUUCACUGGGCUUAAAGGGCGCGUAGGCGGCGGCUCAAGUCGGGGGUGAAAUCCUCUCGCUCAACGAGAGAAUUGCCUCCGAUACUGGGUCGCUGGAGGGGGAUAGGGGUGCGCGGAACUUCCGGUGGAGCGGUGAAAUGCGUAGAGAUCCGGAGGAACACCGACGGCGUAGGCAGCGCCCUGGACGACACCUGACGCUGAGGCACGAAAGCUGGGGGAGCGAACAGG
rnacentral:rRNA from 1 species